rnacentral:rRNA from 1 species
GAGUUUGAUCAUGGCUCAGGAUGAACGCCGGCGGUGUGCCUAAUACAUGCAAGUCGUACGCACUGGCCCAACUGAUUGAUGGUGCUUGCACCUGAUUGACGAUGGAUCACCAGUGAGUGGCGGACGGGUGAGUAACACGUAGGUAACCUGCCCGGAGCGGGGAUAACAUUUGGAAACAGAUGCUAAUACCGCAUAACAACAAAGGCCACAUGGCUUUUGUUUGAAAGAUGGCUUUGGCCAUCACUCUGGGAUGGACCUGCGGUGCAUUAGCUAGUUGGUAAGGUAACGGCUUACCAAGGCGAUAAUGCAUAGCCGAGUUGAGAGACUGAUCGGCCACAAUGGAACUGAGACACGGUCCAUACCUCC